GCAACUGUGUGCCCAGUACCAUGAUGCUGCCAUAGAGUAUCCUGCAGUGUUGGCCAAUGUGAUCAUCGCUGUCCUUAAACCGUUGUUAUAACCAACCUGAUAACAACCUGCUGCUUACACCAGAUACGGUGACAAUCUCUAAGAAGUCGCUAGUUACGUUGGAGGCUAACUCUGGAUCAUUCCUCCUUUGUCAGCGGAACUCAGUGAGUCUGAAUGAAUCAUAAUGAAGAAACAUAACUUGUUGGGGCUUCCCAAGACACAGAAAGGAAUCUGGCCAACCUUUCUGUUGAAGCUUUAUGAGAGAGGUCCCGUGUCAUGAAGAAGGAUGCUGAGCAUGAGGAAUAUGCCAUCUAUGACUUCUUCCAGGUUUCUGAUCCUUCCAGGGAGGGGAUCUUAGCACUUUCUGGCUCUUGUCAAGAAACCAAAUUGCUGAAACCAAGCAACUUGUUCCCAGCGAAAACAACAACAAACAAAAAGCUAACAGGAUUUGUAUUCAGAUUACUUGGAGUCAAGUCGCUGUGAGAUACUGGGCUUCUCUGAGCCUCACUUUUCCCAUCUGCAAAAUGGACAUAACAAGACCUGCUGUUCUGUGUUUGUUCAUUCACCACAGGGCUUUGCCUGUGACUGACCAGGUGACCUGGGGCUCCCGUCUCUGAUCCCCUGGAGUAACUCACACUCUACAAAUACAACUUGUGUUUGUGGCCCAAGCCUCUGAAGAUGAUGAUGGUAUUAAUAA